rnacentral:rRNA from 1 species
AUUGAACGCUGGCGGCAGGCCUAACACAUGCAAGUCGAACGAGUGGCGGACGGGUGAGUAAUGUCUGUGAAACUGCCCGAUGGAGGGGGAUAACUACUGGAAACGGUAGCGAAUACACCGCACCAUCGGAUGUGCCCAGAUGGGAUUAGCUUGUAGGUGAGGUAACGGCUCACCUAGGCGACGCUCCCUAGCUGGUCUGUGAGGAUGACCAGCCACACUUGAACGGAGACACGGUCCAGACUCCUACGGGAGGCAGCAGUGGGGAAUAUUGGACAAUGGGCGAAAGCCUGAUCCAGCCAUGCCGCGUGUGUGAAGAAGGUCUUCGGAUUGUAAAGCACUUUAAGUUGGGAGGCGUUACCAACAGAAUAAGCACCGGCUAACUUCGUGCCAGCAGCCGCGGUAAUAC